rnacentral:rRNA from 1 species
CUCGACCUCAUGAAGUCGGAGUCGCUAGUAAUCGCAGAUCAGCAACGCUGCGGUGAAUNCGUUNCCGGGCCUUGUACACNCCGCCCGUCAAGUCAUGAAAGUCGGUAACACCCGAAGCCAGUGGCCUAACCCCUUGUGGGAUGGAGCUGUCGAAGGUGGGAUUGGUGAUUAGGACUAA